GACGAACGCUGGCGGCGUGCUUAACACAUGCAAGUCGAACGGAAAGGCCCUGCUUUUGUGGGGUGCUCGAGUGGCGAACGGGUGAGUAACACGUGAGUAACCUGCCCUUGACUUUGGGAUAACUUCAGGAAACUGGGGCUAAUGCCGGAUAGGAGCUCCUGCUGCAUGGUGGGGGUUGGAAAGUUUCGGCGGUUGGGGAUGGACUCGCGGCUUAUCAGCUUGUUGGUGGGGUAGUGGCUUACCAAGGCUUUGACGGGUAGCCGGCCUGAGAGGGUGACCGGCCACAUUGGGACUGAGAUACGGCCCAGACUCCUACGGGAGGCAGCAGUGGGGAAUAUUGCACAAUGGGCGGAAGCCUGAUGCAGCAACGCCGCGUGCGGGAUGACGGCCUUCGGGUUGUAAACCGCUUUCGCCUGUGACGAAGCGUGAGUGGCGGUAAUGGGUAAAGAAGCACCGGCUAACUACGUG
rnacentral:rRNA from 1 species